GACAGUGUGGUGUAGUGGUUUGAGUGUUAGACUAUGACUCUGGGGACCACGGUUCAAAUCCCUUCUUGGUCA